rnacentral:rRNA from 3 species
UCCGGAUUGGAGUCUGCAACUCGACUCCAUGAAGUCGGAAUCGCUAGUAAUCGUGGAUCAGAAUGCCACGGUGAAUACGUUCCCGGGCCUUGUACACACCGCCCGUCACACCAUGGGAGUGGGUUGCAAAAGAAGUAGGUAGCUUAACCUUCGGGAGGGCGCUUACCACUUUGUGAUUCAUGACUGGGGUGAAGUCGUAACAAGGUAACCGUAGGGGAACCUGCGGUUGGAUCACCUCCUUACCUUAAAGAAGC